CGAAGUGUUCUGGCAGACUGCAAAUAGUUGUAUAUCUUCUCAGAUUCUUCAAAAACAGAAUCAUAUAAAUACAACACUUAUAUCAAAUUCCUGUUCUUGAUUCUGCUAUCAGUAGGAAAGUAGAAACUGAUUAACAUAAUUAUGUUAAAAAUCUUAAUACUUAAUACUUUUUCUUUUCUCAUCGGUUGUAUUAAUUAUAUGUGAAUAUUAUUGAAUUUAUUGUAGUUGUCUGAUUUCCCGUACAGAUUAAAUAACAUAUAUGCCUAAACACCAGAGAAAGAUAUCAUUUCUGGGAUAUCUAGAUGUCUUCAUAUAGUUCACUCAUUAAUGAUAUCAUGACUUAACUUGAUAUUUCAUGUUCAUUUUUUGAUAUCACAAAUGAUUUGUAUAUCUAUAUCGUAACAUGCAAUUAAAGAUGUCCUUGAAAUGGAAAAUUAAAGCUAUUUACAUUCUGAUAUUUUAAACCUGUUUUCUGUGUGCUGAUAGCUUUGAUUAUUUAGUUCUUCAUGUAAAAGAAUGAAGUUUAGAUAGCAUAAGAAAAAAAAACAUUGAGAAAACUAUAUAAUAGAAUAUAUCAACUAAUAUUUCGCAAAUUGUUAAUUGAUAUCUAAAUUGACUUCACUUUCUAUGCGUCUAUGUAUGUAAGAAAACACAUUUUUUAAGUGAAAAGGGUAUUAAAAUAUACUAACUGAAAAACAUCAAAACAACAUACAUUUUUACAAUACGUGUUCCAGCUGGUUAAUGAUAAUAUGGCCGAAAUCGUCCUAAAAUGUUGACCUAGUUGCCACACUGUAAACAUGAAGUCAUUGGGCCAACGACGGAAACCCGUCAAAGGAUAAUCGUGGUUGGGCCACUGUUGGCCCAACAAUGAUUAAUAAGUAUUUAAAUACAGCUGUUGGGCCAACGUUGAACCAACUUUGAAUUUCAGUCACAGAUAUAUUUACAUUGGGCCAAUAUUGAUUUUCAGAUAAUUAUAUAUUUUACAGGAGACUGUUUUAUCACAAGCCCCUACAGGUAUACACGUUAUGUGUGUGUGUAACAUGCAAUAUUUAAUUAAUAAUUAAAUACUUUUCUGCACCAAUUCGUAAUCAGUUAAAUUUGGGCUAAUUAAACCUUAAACUUAUCUGCAGCCGUAAUGACAUUUUGAACUAUUUCAAAUCUACUACCUUGAAAAAAAAUUGUGAAAAAAAUUGAAAAAAAAACAAAACAAACUCACUACUAACUCUAUAACAAAUAUCUAAUUUUAUACAGUCAUAAAAUGUUUACAAUAAAUCUGUUGAGUAUUCCAGAACAUGAACUCUCGUUAACCCGGGUUAUGUAAGAAAUCCCAGAAAAUGUGGUUAAUUUUACUCUCUAGGCCAGAUUUCUAGCUGCAUAUAUGUGAAGUAAAGGAAACUAUUAUACAUGUGAUAGAUCUAGAGUUAACAAAAACCCGGUCUACCAGCUAUAAACUGGUGCUGUUCAAGAGAGUAAUAAUGGAGUGCCUAGCACUGUGGUGCACAAGAAAAAACAAGAAGAAAAAAAGAAAGCAGCAACGUCAGUGAGAAAAAAAAACAAUCAAACAGAACUUGGAUAUAUAAUGAAUUAAUAUACAGACAGUAAUUCACUUUAGUAGGAUUUAAUCAGUGACUGAAAAAAAGAAAAAAUAUUUAGAUUUAUAAAAGGCUGGGAUCAAUAUUUGACAUGUUGUAGUGAUGAAAUAUUCUGUUAUAUUUCUUCAGGAAAAUUGCAAACAAACUUUAAAUAAAUGUUAGAUUUCUUUUUGUUAAACUUUAACAAAAUCACAACUAUUUGAAAAUAAAAUACGUA